rnacentral:rRNA from 1 species
AGAGUUUGAUCAUGGCUCAGGAUGAACGCUGGCGGCGUGCUUAACACAUGCAAGUCGAACGGAAAGGCCCUGCUUGCAGGGUACUCGAGUGGCGAACGGGUGAGUAACACGUGGGUGAUCUGCCCCGCACUUCGGGAUAAGCCUGGGAAACUGGGUCUAAUACCGGAUAGGACCAUGAUUCGGUUCAUGGUGGAAAGUUUUUCGGUGUGGGAUGAGCUCGCGGCCUAUCAGCUUGUUGGUGGGGUAAUGGCCUACCAAGGCGUCGACGGGUAGCCGGCCUGAGAGGGUGGACGGCCACAUUGGGACUGAGAUACGGCCCAGACUCCUACGGGAGGCAGCAGUGGGGAAUAUUGCACAAUGGGCGGAAGCCUGAUGCAGCGACGCCGCGUGGGGGAUGAAGGCCUUCGGGUUGUAAACUCCUUUCGCCAGGGACGAAGCCUUCGGGUGACGGUACCUGGAUAAGAAGCACCGGCUAACUACGUGCCAGCAGCCGCGGUAAUACGUAGGGUGCGAGCGUUGUCCGGAAUUACUGGGCGUAAAGAGCUCGUAGGUGGUUUGUCACGUCGUCUGUGAAAUUCCGGGGCUUAACUCCGGGCGUGCAGGCGAUACGGGCAUAACUUGAGUGCUGUAGGGGAGACUGGAAUUCCUGGUGUAGCGGUGAUAUGCGCAGAUAUCAGGAGGAACACCGAUGGCGAAGGCAGGUCUCUGGGCAGUAACUGACGCUGAGGAGCGAAAGCAUGGGUAGCGAACAGGAUUAGAUACCCUGGUAGUCCAUGCCGUAAACGGUGGGCGCUAGGUGUAGGGGACUUCCACGUCUUCUGUGCCGUAGCUAACGCAUUAAGCGCCCCGCCUGGGGAGUACGGCCGCAAGGCUAAAACUCAAAUGAAUUGACGG